rnacentral:rRNA from 1 species
GUGGGUAGUUUGACUGGGGCGGUCUCCUCCUAAAGAGUAACGGAGGAGCACGAAGGUUGGCUAAUCCUGGUCGGACAUCAGGAGGUUAGUGCAAUGGCAUAAGCCAGCUUGACUGCGAGCGUGACGGCGCGAGCAGGUGCGAAAGCAGGUCAUAGUGAUCCGGUGGUUCUGAAUGGAAGGGCCAUCGCUCAACGGAUAAAAGGUACUCCGGGGAUAACAGGCUGAUACCGCCCAAGAGUUCAUAUCGACGGCGGUGUUUGGCACCUCGAUGUCGGCUCAUCACAUCCUGGGGCUGAAGUAGGUCCCAAGGGUAUGGCUGUUCGCCAUUUAAAGUGGUACGCGAGCUGGGUUUAGAACGUCGUGAGACAGUUCGGUCCCUAUCUGCCGUGGGCGCUGGAGAACUGAGGGGGGCUGCUCCUAGUACGAGAGGACCGGAGUGGACGCAUCACUGGUGUUCGGGUUGUCAUGCCAAUGGCACUGCCCGGUAGCUAAAUGCGGAAGAGAUAAGUGCUGAAAGCAUCUAAGCACGAAACUUGCCCCGAGAUGAGUUCUCCCUGAGACUUUAGGUCUCCUGAAGGAACGUUGAAGACGACGACGUUGAUAGGCCGGGUGUGUAAGCGCAGCGAUGCGUUGAGCUAACCGGUACUAAUGAACCGUGAGGCUU